CAGCUUUUCACUCUGUUGUUUUGUUUCAAGUUGUACACUUUGUUUGUCUACCUUGUGGCUUCCUGUACGUUAGUUUUGGAUUCUUGGAACUUUCAAAAAAAAAAAAAAAAAUCAUUAUUAUCUCUCUUCACUGUGGAUUUGCCGCACUCAUAUUUAAGCUUUGGAGUUUUCCGCCAACAGCACGGGGGUGGACCAGUGCGCAGGCCAAGAGGCGGGAGAACCAGACAUCGCCAGUUAACGUUUAAGGUGUCAGUACUAAGGAAUCCGACACUGACCCACUACCGAUCUCAUAGGGAUGCCACUCCUGCUACUCGGGUGGUCGUUCCUGUAAACCUCAAUGCCGCUGAAUUCAGGCAGGCACUACGGGACAAUAUUGCAGACAUACCUUUGCAGUUCGAUCUAUGCAAAGUGAAUGGACAGCGGCUCAUUCUUCCUCUUGAAGAGGAGACGCCCCAAGAAAUUAGAGCAAGAAACCUACUGGGUCGCUCCAAUCUUUAUAUCCGUCCAAAGAUUACAGAAGCCAAUGACGACUCAACUGGUGGAGAAGUGGUGCAGUCUGAAAUGGCAAUUGUGCUGCAUGACACAGAGACACCUGACCAUGGCAGGCACAAUGUACAGGAGCCAGAGGUUAUCAGUGGUCUGCAUGAAAACCAUACAGCUAAUUCUAGUAGGCCUGGUCUCCAGGAACCAGAGGUUAACAGGGAAGAGUUUUACAUCGACUCUGCAGAGUCAGAAGUAUCAGACCUGGAUGAGGCUGUCCUGGCUUCCCCUGAACAAAAUGAUUCACAUGAUGAGAUGGACCUUGCUACUGUCCUGAAAGACUUCCAGGAAACGCAUCUUGACACCAGCAAUUAUUGUACAGUAAUAGCCCGACGAAGGAAAAUCCUACAUAGUGCCUGCAUGGCACUUUCGAAGUCAUAUUUUGCCUGGCAUAAAUUACCAAACAUUGAAUUCGUUGGUGAAAUGGCCGAUGAUUAUGGAGGCCCAAGGCGGGAAUUUUUUCGCUUACUUAUGGUCGAAACUCAGAAUUCCCUAGGGAUUUUUGAGGGGAAGCCUGGCAGUCUGCUGUUCAGUUAUAGCCAGCAGUUGCUGUCAAGCAACAAGUUUUAUAUGGCUGGUAAACUGAUUGCUUGGUCGAUAGCACACAAUGGGCCAGGGCCACGGUGUAUCAAUAGACACCUGUUCUGUUUGAUGUGUGGCCAGAAGACAUCUCUUGAUGACUUUGAUGUCGAGGUCUUCAUGGACGAUGACAUUAAACAGAACAUAGAAAAGGUUUCCAACUGCAGCACCCCAGAAGACCUGGCAGACUUGAAAAGUCACCUUGGGGACUGGAUUGCAGGCUGUGGUAUCCCUGACAUCUACACUGCCACACUACUUGAUGUUAAGAGGAUAAGGGGCGAGAUUGUAUCUCAUUUUGCGUUUCACAGGGUUGCCAGCAUGAUUCAACAGUUUGUUGCCGGUAUGGACUCGUGUGGUCAAUUCUGGCAAAUGGUGAAGAGAUGCUGGAAGCAGUUCCUUCCUGUAUUUACAAAUGCAGGAAAUAAACUUACAAGGAACAGCUUCCAGGAUCUCUUCACCAUUGGAUGGAGUCCAGCUGGAA
ensembl:lncRNA